UUAGAGGAAGUAAAAGUCGUAACAAGGUUUCCGUAGGUGAACCUGCGGAAGGAUCAUUAUUGAAAUAAACCUGAUGAGUUGCUGCUGGUUCUCUAGGGAGCAUGUGCACACUUGUCGUCUUUAUAUUUCCACCUUGUGCACCUUUUGUAGACCUGGAUAUCUCUCUGAAUGCACACAAGCAUUUGGGUUUGAGGGGUUGACUUUUUGGUCUCCCUUUAUAUUUCCAGGCCUAUGUUUCUUUCAUAUACCCCACUUGUGUYAUAGAAUGUAAUAAAAUGGGCCUUUGUGCCUGUAAAGCUAUACAACUUUCAGCAACGGAUCUCUUGGCUCUCGCAUCGAUGAAGAACGCAGCGAAAUGCGAUAAGUAAUGUGAAUUGCAGAAUUCAGUGAAUCAUCGAAUCUUUGAACGCACCUUGCGCUCCUUGGUAUUCCGAGGAGCAUGCCUGUUUGAGUGUCAUUAAUAUAUCAACCUCCUCAACUUGUGUUGAGUGUUGGAUGUGGGGGUUCYUUCUUUGCUGGCUUCAYGGUCAGCUCCCCUGAAAUGCAUUAGCGGAACAACCUGUUCACUGUUCAUUGGCGUGAUAACUAUCUACGCUGCUUGUUGACAGUGAAGCAAGUUCAGCUUCUAACAGUCCAUUAAAUUGGACAAAUUUUUAUUAAUGUGACCUCAAAUCAGGUAGGACUACCCGCUGAACUUAAGCAUAUCA
rnacentral:rRNA from 1 species